GCCUCUGUCAGAGACACCGUAUGCAACAUUGUUUUGAGAAGGCGGAGUCACAGGUGUUGCUGUAGGCAAUAGCAACACAACUGCUCAAGAUGUGGACGACGAUGAUACUCAAGAUUGCGGUGCUGAAGAUGUCAACAUUAAUGGAAACAAAGAUGCCGUUGGUGCAAAAGACAACCAUAUAGAAGAUAUUAAUCCAAUGGAAAAUGGAAAAAGUGCAGAAG
rnacentral:lncRNA from 1 species